rnacentral:rRNA from 1 species
UGAGGAAUAUUGCUCAAUGGGCGAAAGCCUGAAGCAGCAACGCCGCGUGCGCGAUGAAGGCCUUCGGGUCGUAAAGCGCUUUUGAGAGGGACGAGAUAGGACGGUACCUCUCGAAUAAGUCACGGCUAACUACGUGCCAGCAGCCGCGGUAAAACGUAGGUGACGAGCGUUAUCCGGAUUUACUGGGCGUAAAGAGCUUGUAGGUGGCUCUGUAAGUUGGGCGUGAAAGCCCCGGGCUUAACUCGGGGAGGUUGCUCAAUACUGCGGGGCUAGAGGGUGUCAGAGGGAAGUGGAAUUCCUGGUGUAGCAGUGAAAUGCGUAGAUAUCAGGAGGAACACCCGUGGCGAAGGCGGCUUCCUGGGGCAUUCCUGACACUGAGAAGCGAAAGCUAGGGGAGCGAACGGGAUUAGAAACCCCGGUAGUCCUAGCUGUAAACGAUGGAUGCUAGGUGUUGGCAGAUCUAACCCUGCCAGUGCCAAAGCUAACGCGUUAAGCAUCCCGCCUGGGAACUACGAGCGCAAGCUUA